GAUGAACGCUGGCGGCGUGCUUAACACAUGCAAGUCGAACGGACAGGUCAUGCUUUUGUUGGGUGCUCGUGUGGCGAACGGGUGUGUAACACGUGAGUAACCUGUCCUUGACUUUGGGAUAUCUUCCGGAAAAUGGGGCUCAUACCGGAUAGGAGAUCCUGCUGCACGGUGGGGGUCGGAAAGUUUCGGCGGUUUGGGAUGGACUGGCGGCUUAUCAGCCUGAUGGUGGGGUAGUGGCUUACCAAGGCUUUGACGGGUAGCCGGCCUGGGAGGGUGACCGGCCACAUGGGGACUGAGAUACGGCCCAGACGCCUACGGGAGGCAGCAGUGGGAAAUAUGGCACAAUGGGGGGAAGCCAGAGGCAGCAACGCCGCGUACGGGAUGACGGCCUUCGGGUUGUAAACCGCUGUCGCCGGUGACGAAGCGUGAGUGACGGUAAUGGGUAAAGAAGCACCGGCUAACUACGUG
rnacentral:rRNA from 1 species